rnacentral:rRNA from 1 species
AACGAACGCUGGCGGCAGGCUUAACACAUGCAAGUCGAGCGCCCCGCCAGGGGGACGGCAGUCUGGUGGGUAGCGCGUGGGAACGUACCGAUGGGUACAGAACAACUUCGUGAAACUGGGGCUAAAACGGGAGAAGACCUAACGGGGAAAGACUUAUCGCCUAAGGAUGGGCCCGCGUCUGAUUAGCUAGUUGGUGAGGUAACUGCUCACCAGUGCGACGAGCAGUAGCGGGUCUGAGAGGCUGAUCAGCCACACUGGGACUGGGACACGGUCCAGACUCCUACGGGAGGCAGCAGUGGGGAAUAUAGGACAAUCGGCUCAAGCCUGAUCGAGCCAUGCCGCGUGAGUGAUGAAGGCCUUAGGGUUGUAAAGCUCUUUUGUCCGGGAAGAUAAUGACUGUACCGGAAGAAUAAGCCCCGGCUAACUUCGUG